AGAGUUUGAUCAUGGCUCAGAACGAACGCUGGCGGCAGGCCUCAAACAUGCAAGUCUAGGGGGUGUAGCAAUACAUCACCGGCGGACGGGUGCGUAACGCGUGGGAAUAUACCUUUUGGUUCGGAACAACUGAGGGAAACUUCAGCUAAUACCGAAUGUGCCCUAACGGGGAAAGAUUUAUCGCCAAAGGAUUAGCCCGCGUAGGAUUAGCUAGUUGGUGAGGUAAUGGCUCACCAAGGCUCCGAUCCUUAGCUGUUCUGAGAGGAAGAUCAGCCACACUGGGACUGAGACACGGCCCAGACUCCUACGGGAGGCAGCAGUUGGGAGUCUUGGACAAUGGGGGAAACCCUGAUCCAGCCAUGCCGCGUGAGUGAUGAAGGCCUUCGGGUUGUAAAACUCUUUCGACGGGGACGAUAAUGACGGUACCCGUAGAAGAAGCUCCGGCUAACUUCGUGCCAGCAGCCGCGGUAAUACGAAGGGGGCUAGCGUUGUUCGGAAUUACUGGGCGUAAAGCGCGCGCAGGCGGUCUUCCAAGUCAGUGGUGAAAGCCCGGAGCUCAACUCCGGAACUGCCAUUGAAACUGUAAGACUUGAGGACGAGAGAGGUGAGUGGAAUUCCCAGUGUAGAGGUGAAAUUCGUAGAUAUUGGGAAGAACACCGGUGGCGAAGGCGGCUCACUGGCUCGUUUCUGACGCUCAGGCGCGACAGCGUGGGGAUCAAACAGGAUUAGAUACCCUAGUAGUCC
rnacentral:rRNA from 1 species